rnacentral:rRNA from 1 species
CCCAGCAGCCAUAUCACCCUGUAGCCCAAGACUGGUUGCCCACUAAAGCUAAGCAGGGUUGAGCCUGGUCAGUACCUGGAUGGGAGACCUCCUGAGAAAACUAGGUUGCUGCUGGAA